GAUGAACGCUGGCGGCGUGCCUAAUACAUGCAAGUCGAGCGAACGGACGAGAAGCCUGCUUCUCUGAUGUUAGCGGCGGACGGGUGAGUAACACGUGGAUAACCUACCUAUAAGACUGGGAUAACUUCGGGAAACCGGAGCUAAUACCGGAUAAUAUUUUGAACCGCAUGGUUCAAAAGUGAAAGACGGUCUUGCUGUCACUUAUAGAUGGAUCCGCGCUGCAUUAGCUAGUUGGUAAGGUAACGGCUUACCAAGGCAACGAUGCAUAGCCGACCUGAGAGGGUGAUCGGCCACACUGGAACUGAGACACGGUCCGGACUCCUACGGGAGGCAGCAGUAGGGAAUCUUCCGCAAUGGGCGAAAGCCUGACGGAGCAACGCCGCGUGAGUGAUGAAGGUCUUCGGAUCGUAAAACUCUGUUAUUAGGGAAGAACAUAUGUGUAAGUAACUGUGCACAUCUUGACGGUACCUAAUCAGAAAGCCACGGCUAACUACGUG
rnacentral:rRNA from 1 species